CAGUCGCCGCGGUAAUACGUAGGGUGCGAGCGUUAAUCGGAAUUACUGGGCGUGAAGCGUGCGCAGGCGGUUCGUUAAGACAGAUGUGAAAUCCCCGGGCUUAACCUGGGAACUGCAUUUGUGACUGGCGAGCUAGAGUAUGGCAGAGGGGGGUAGAAUUCCACGUGUAGCAGUGAAAUGCGUAGAGAUGUGGAGGAAUACCGAUGGCGAAGGCAGCCCCCUGGGCCAAUACUGACGCUCAUGCACGAAAGCGUGGGGAGCAAACAGGAUUAGAUACCCCUGUAGUCCCUGUCUCUUAUAA
rnacentral:rRNA from 1 species